rnacentral:rRNA from 1 species
CCUGAGAGGGUGACCGGCCACACUGGGACUGAGAUACGGCCCAGACUCCUACGGGAGGCAGCAGUGGGGAAUAUUGCACAAUGGGCGCAAGCCUGAUGCAGCGACGCCGCGUGAGGGAUGACGGCCUUCGGGUUGUAAACCUCUUUCGCCAGGGACGAAGCGCAAGUGACGGUACCUGGAGAAGAAGGACCGGCCAACUACGUGCCAGCAGCCGCGGUAAUACGUAGGGUCCGAGCGUUGUCCGGAAUUACUGGGCGUAAAGAGCUCGUAGGUGGUUUGUCGCGUUGUUCGUGAAAACUCACAGCUCAACUGUGGGCGUGCGGGCGAUACGGGCAGACUGGAGUACUGCAGGGGAGACUGGAAUUCCUGGUGUAGCGGUGGAAUGCGCAGAUAUCAGGAGGAACACCGGUGGCGAAGGCGGGUCUCUGGGCAGUAACUGACGCUGAGGAGCGAAAGCGUGGGGAGCGAACAGGAUUAGAUACCCUGGUAGUCCACGCCGUAAACGGUGGGUACUAGGUGUGGGUUUCCUUCCUUGGGAUCCGUGCCGUAGCUAACGCAUUAAGUACCCCGCCUGGGGAGUACGGCCGCAAGGCUAAAACUCAAAGAAAUUGACGGGGGCCCGCACAAGCGGCGGAGCAUGUGGAUUAAUUCGAUGCAACGCGAAGAACCUUACCUGGGUUUGACAUGCACAGGACGUGCCUAGAGAUAGGUAUUCCCUUGUGGCCUGUGUGCAGGUGGUGCAUGGCUGUCGUCAGCUCGUGUCGUGAGAUGUUGGGUUAAG